rnacentral:tRNA from 1 species
AUUGUUUUGGUCCAAUGGUAGAACACUUGUCAUGUCUACAGGAGACGUGGGUUCAAAUCCCAUUGACAGCC